AAACCUUAUCACAAGGUAUAGGUCCAUGCAAGGUAUCUACAUGCCAAAUAUAAAAGUGAUCAACAAAAUAUUGAAGGCGCUAUGAGAAACUGUACAAAAAUGUAACGGAAAAUCUAUUAUUAGCCUCGGUGACCUUGAAUUCGACCCCAGUGACGUCAAACUUCAUCAAAAGGUAGAGGUCUAUGCAAGGUACAUUCAUGCCAAAUAUGUAAGAGAUCGGUAAAAUAUUGAAGGCGCUAUGAGAAACAAAAGUGUGACGGACAAUCUAUUAUUAUAAUCCUCGGUGACCUUGAAAAUCACUGUCCAGAAUGUCGUUUAGGACCAGUGCCACUUAGACAAUUUAAUCUUGUUGGUGAGCAGAAAAAGAGAUUGUGUGGAGAGAUUGUGUGGAUUUUUGUUUUUGCGAUGCCAGAAUGUUAACAAUUGCCAUGUGAACCGUUUAUCGUACGGCAAAACCCAUCACGUAAAGAAGAGUCUUCAAGAGAGGAAUGCAUUGUUUUGAUAAAAACACAAAGCUCGGAAAAGGCAGCAAUGGUCGACAACAUUGGUGGUCAAGGAAGAGUAACUACUUUUUUUCAACACUGAAUGUUCCAAUGAUAAGUAACUCAAACUUUAAGAAAAUGUAAAAACUCGCGAGUAGGACCAUUCAACAAGUGUCAACUAUCUCCUCAGCAGACGCUUCUAGACAGGGUUAUCAGAUGUGAUAAAGCUGUACAUGAGGAAAAUGACACCCGACAGAUUAUGGACUCAACCAUUCAACAUUCAACCACGAAAUUACUAGGAAAUUGCAGGCACUUAGUGUUUUUGUUUACAAUCAUGUGUCCAAGGCCGCAACAACAUAAAAUAUUAUAACUGGCUCUGGACUAAA